UUCUCAAGCGAUCUAAGGGCAUUUGGUGGAUGCCUUGGCACCUAGAGGCGAUGAAGGACGUAGCACCUUGCGAUAAGCUUCGGGGAGAUGGGAGCGAUCUUUGAUCCGAAGAUUUCCGAAUGGGGCAACCCACCCCUUUAGGGGUAUCGGCGGCCGAAUCCAUGGGCCGUCGAGGCGAACCCGGCGAAUUGAAACAUCUCAUUAGCCGGAGGAAAGGACAUCAACCGAGACUCCGUCAGUAGUGGCGAGCGAACGCGGACCAGGCCAGUGAUAAUCCUGAGACAACCUGAAACGUUUGGAACGACGUGCCGUAGUGGGUGACAGCCCCGUACGGGUAAUGCGAAGGAUUAUCCUCGAGUAAGGCGGGACACGUGCAAUCCUGUCUGAACAUGGGGGGACCACCCUCCAAGCCUAAGUACUCCUCAGCGACCGAUAGCGAACCAGUACCGUGAGGGAAAGGUGAAAAGCACCCCGACGAGGGGAGUGAAACAGCACCUGAAACCGGAUGCUUACAAACAGUGGGAGCCCAAGGUUCGUCCUGGGUGACCGCGUACCUUUUGUAUAAUGGGUCAGCGACUUAAAGUUACGAGCGAGCUUAAGCCGAUAGGUGGAGGCGCAGCGAAAGCGAGUCUGAACAGGGCGUUCAGUAGCUGGGCGUAGACCCGAAACCGGAUGAUCUAUCCAUGGCCAGGUUGAAGGUGCGGUAACACGCACUGGAGGACCGAACCCACUAGUGUUGCAAAACUAGGGGAUGAGCUGUGGAUAGGGGUGAAAGGCUAAACAAAUCCGGAAAUAGCUGGUUCUCCUCGAAAACUAUUUAGGUAGUGCCUCGUAAUAGGCCUCCGGGGGUAGAGCACUGUAAUCGUUGGGGGGGUCACUGAGAUCUACCCCGCGAUAGCAAACUCCGAAUACCGGAGAGUCGUUUUACGGGAGACAGACAUCGGGUGCUAACGUCCGGUGUCGAGAGGGAAACAACCCAGACCCACAGCUAAGGUCCCUAAUGAUGUGCUAAGUGGUAAACGAAGUGGGAAGGCUAAGACAGCCAGGAAGUUGGCUUAGAAGCAGCCACCCUUUAAAGAAAGCGUAAUAGCUCACUGGUCGAGUCGUCCUGCGCGGAAGAUGUAACGGGGCUCAAGCCAAUAACCGAAGCUGCGGAUUCAGGAAUCAGAGUUCAGGAAUCAGGAAUCAGUAUGAAGGCUGACAAGUUUGAAGACUUGGAGGUAUUCAGGCGGGCUUACAGGAUUUCCCUGGAAGUUCAUGCGGCAAGUCUGAAAUUCCCACAGGUUGAGCAGUAUGGGUUGGCCGACCAGAUCCGGCGCGCCAGCAAAAGUAUCUGUGCAAACCUGGCGGAAGGAUAUGGCAAGCGCAGUCAGUCGCGAGCUGAAUUCAAGCGCUUCGUGCUGAUGAGUAUAGGCUCUGCAGACGAGAUGCGUGUCUGGAGUCGGUACUGUCUUGAUUUGAACUAUAUUGAUGAAGAGCGAUGGAAGCAUUGGCGCGAUGAGUAUGAGCAAAUCGCCAAGAUGCUGCAGGGACUGAGCAAGAACCUUGACAAAGCAAGAGGGUCUGGCUGAUCCCUGAUUCCUGACCUCUGAUUCCUGAAUGGUAGGGGAGCGUUCCGUAGGCCUGUGAAGGUGGGGUGGGAACCCUGCUGGAGGUAUCGGAAGUGCGAAUGCUGACAUGAGUAGCGAUAAAACGAGUGAAAAGCUCGUUCGCCGAAAGCCCAAGGUUUCCUGCGCAACGUUCAUCGGCGCAGGGUGAGUCGGCCCCUAAGGCGAGGCCGAAAGGCGUAGUCGAUGGGAAACAGGUCAAUAUUCCUGUACCGAUCACAGAUGCGAUGGGGGGACGGAGAAGGUUAGCUCAGCCGGGUGUUGGACGUCCCGGUUUAAGCGUGUAGGCGUGCUGCAUAGGCAAAUCCGUGCGGCUUAGCUGAGGCGUGACGACGAGUGCUCUUGGAGCGCGAAGUGAGUGAUACCCUGCUUCCAGGAAAAGCCUCUAAGCUCCAGUCUGUGAUUGACCGUACCGCAAACCGACACAGGUGGGCAGGAUGAAAAUUCUAAGGCGCUUGAGAGAACCCAGGAGAAGGAACUCGGCAAAUUGACACCGUAACUUCGGGAGAAGGUGUGCCCCGCGUACGUGUAGUCCCCCGCGGACGAAGCGGAACGGGGUCGCAGAGAAUAGGUGGCUGCGACUGUUUAACAAAAACACAGCACUCUGCCAAGUCGAAAGACGACGUAUAGGGUGUGACGCCUGCCCGGUGCCGGAAGGUUAAUUGAUGGCGUGCAAGCGCUUGAUCGAAGCCCCGGUAAACGGCGGCCGUAACAAUAACGGUCCUAAGGUAGCGAAAUUCCUUGUCGGGUAAGUUCCGACCUGCACGAAUGGCGUAACGAUGGCCACACUGUCUCCUCUUGGGACUCAGCGAAGUUGAAAUGUUUGUGAAGAUGCAAUCUCCCCGCGGCUAGACGGAAAGACCCCAUGAACCUUUACUGUAGCUUUGCAUUGGACUUUGACGGGACUUGUGUAGGAUAGGUGGGAGGCAGUGAGACGCGGUCGCCAGAUCGCGUGGAGCCGACGUUGAAAUACCACCCUGGUGUCGUUGAGGUUCUAACCUGGGCCCCUGAAUCGGGGUCGGGGACCGUGCAUGGCAGGCAGUUUGACUGGGGCGGUCUCCUCCUAAACGGUAACGGAGGAGUACGAAGGUCUCCUAGGCACGGUCGGACAUCGUGCUCAUAGUGCAAUGGCAAAAGGAGGCUUGACUGCGAGACCCACAAGUCGAGCAGGUGCGAAAGCAGGUCAUAGUGAUCCGGUGGUUCUGUAUGGAAGGGCCAUCGCUCAACGAAUAAAAGGUACUCCGGGGAUAACAGGCUGAUACCGCCCAAGAGUUCA
rnacentral:rRNA from 1 species